rnacentral:rRNA from 1 species
CACGUAGGGGCCAAGCGUUGUCCGGAUUUAUUGGGCGUAAAGAGCUCGUAGGCGGCUUGUUGCGUCAGCUGUGAAAACCCGCAGCUCAACUGUGGGCUUGCAGCUGAUACGGGCAGGCUUGAGUUCGGUAGGGGAGACUGGAAUUCCCGGUGUAGCGGUGAAAUGCGCAGAUAUCGGGAGGAACACCAGUAGCGACGGCGGCUCCCUGGGCCAUUCCUGACGCUGAGACGCGAAAGCGUGGGGAGCAAACAGG